CAUCGUGUUGGUUUGGUGUCGGGGUGAGAGGGUAAAAGAAAAUUUCAACUACUGGCAAACGCAUACAUUUUAUCUUAUUUCUUCUUUCUUCCGAGAAGAAACCUUUUCUUUGACUAUUAUUUAUGCUUUUGUUUCUUUUUGACAUUUAUUAUGUCCUUUUACAUUUGUUGGAAUCUCCAAAAUUCAGUUUGCCCUCUCUUGGGUUGCUUAGUAUAGGAAAGAAGCCCAAGCCAGCGUCUCUUAGAUCGCUUCCACUGUUUUAUCAGAAUUUUUAUACUGCAAGCUUUAUUCUGGGCUAAGAAGAUUAGCUAUAUCUAGUAGCAUUGAUAGAGUAUGAAUGAAAGCUGUAGUAAUGCAAGUGUGAGCUCGACCUCAAGUUUGAAUAGCAGCUUCCCAGACACAGAGGAUGACCAAACUAUUGCCAGCAUCUUAGCAGAAGAGGAAAACUCUCAAGUUGCUGGAAGGCUUGGGAAGAGACUCUCUCAUUUGGAUUCCAUACCGCACACUCCCCGAGUCAAUGGUGAAAUUCCUGAUGUGAAUGAUGCAACCUUAGACCAUCAGAGGUUAUCUGAAAGAUUGGCCACAUAUGGUUUAGCAGAACUGCAAAUUGAGGGCGAUGGGAAUUGCCAGUUUCGAUCAUUAGCAGACCAGCUGCUUCGAAGUCCAGAUUACCACAAGCAUGUAAGGAAGCAAGUAGUCAAACAGCUAAAGCAUUUCAGAAAGUUAUACGAAGGUUAUGUGCCGAUGAAAUACAAAAGCUACCUGAAGAAAAUGAAAAAAUCAGGGGAAUGGGGGGACCAUGUUACUCUACAAGCAGCAGCAGAUCGAUUUGGAGCCAAGAUUUGUUUGGUCACAUCUUUUCGAGACACUUGCUAUAUCGAGAUCAUUCCAAAAGACAAGAAUCCUACCAGAGAAAAGAAAGGAUUACUUCAGUAGAAAAAUGACGCAUGUCAGCAAAAAGUGACCCAUAUCAGAAAAUAUGUGCAACAUCAGCAAAAAAAGAUGAUGUCAGAGAUUUGGCUAAGCUUUUGGAGUGAAGUGCAUUACAAUUCAUUAUAUGCAGUUGGAGAUGUGCCCACCGGAAAGACAAGAAGAAAGCAUUGGCUUUUCUAGAUAAUUUGGCAAGCCAUCAUGAGGUGAAGUUAUAAUUUCCACUGUUCUCUCAAUUUUAUAUUUCUGUAUAUGUUCUCAAAUUGGAAAGCUUCUACUGUAAUAGCAGUAAAACUUCGUACUCGUAUACCAUGUCCAGGUUCUCCUUUUCUUUUCUUUUCUUUUUCUUCUUUUACUAUUAGCCUUCCUGUACAGAAAAUUACUCAGCAAGAAACUUGUAUGCAAAAAUAUCCGACCAUACUGCUAUGGCCAAGUGCACUGUUUCAGUCUGAAGGAAUGAAUAUUUUAUUAUCAUGAAAAACUAGAUACAUUGUUUUUUUCUUAA